AUCAAGUUGAAACACCGGUUCCCGUAUGAACACCGAAGUUAAGCAACGCCAAAUCUGGUCAGUAACUAGAUGGGUGACCGCUUGGGAAUACCAAGUGGUGUA